rnacentral:rRNA from 1 species
UACGUAGGGCGCAAGCGUUUGUCCGGAAUUAUUGGGCGUAAAGAGCUCGUAGGCGGCUUGUCACGUCGGAUGUGAAAGCCCGGGGCUUAACCCCGGGUCUGCAUUCGAUACGGGCUAGCUAGAGUGUGGUAGGGGGAGAUCGGAAUUCCUGGUGUAGCGGUGAAAUGCGCAGAUAUCAGGAGGAACACCGGUGGCGAAGGCGGAUCUCUGGGCCAUUACUGACGCUGAGGAGCGAAAGCGUGGGGAGCGAACAGG